CUUGAACCGGGAGGCAGAGGCUGCUGUGAGCCAUUGCACUCCAGCCUGGGCGACAGAGUGAGACUUCGUCUUAAAUAAUAAGAUCCCAUGGAGUUAAAAUGAAGUUUGACAUCAUGAAAAUGAAAAUAACCUACAAAAAAAUUGCCGCUGUUUGCAUACUGGGGACAUGGCAAGCGAUGUAAACUGCCUUCCCUGGCAUUCUUCUGACACAAAUCCUCGAGUUUCACAAUGUUUGCAGCCAUUUCCAGAGUUAACAUACUAGGUUAGAAUGAGGGAAAGGUGACAGUUUUGAAACAGACCGAAGAGACUGGCCAAAAGCUAGGGCAUGGGGAGAAUGUGAAGGUAUGCAAAAGCCUA
rnacentral:lncRNA from 10 species